UACGUAGGUGGCAAGCGUUGUCCGGAUUUACUGGGCGUAAAGAGCGCGCAGGCGGUCGUUCAAGUCGCGUGUGAAAGCCCCCCGGCUCAACUGGGGAGGGUCACGCGAUACUGAUCGACUCGAAGGCAGGAGAGGGAAGUGGAAUUCCCGGUGUAGUGGUGAAAUGCGUAGAUAUCGGGAGGAACACCAGUGGCGAAGGCGACUUCCUGGCCUGUUCU
rnacentral:rRNA from 1 species